GUGACGUGGGCAGACUACAAGAAUCAUAAAUUGAUUGAUUGAUUGAUUGAUUGAUUGAAGAAUAUGGAUUUGAUUAACCCUGGCAGAAUCUUGUAAAAAGAAUGAUGAAAAAGAAGACGAUCGAACCCGAUCCCUUGGAGUCAAACUCAAAACCAUUUCAAGAUGAAACCGCUGCCGAGGGAGCAAAUGAUUUACUCUCAAGGUAUAUAAAGAAUCUGCCUGAACCUGGGCGUGUAACAAGAUCCAGGCAUGCAGCAUCAAGGUUACAAGAGGACCAUGGACAAUAUCCAGUUAAAACAUUGGCCUCCUCCUUCGACCAAAUGUCCACAUCAGAUUAUUCUUCAAACAACUCCAUCUCCUCCUUCUCCACCUCAAAGAGGAACAGCGGGGAGUCUAUCCAGGCCAGGAGGCUCAGUCCCACUAGCGACAUCAGUGACACAGAGAUCCGCACGGCCGACUCGUCGCCGGAGCAGAAGAAAAUGUGCGACAUCGGCUGGGAGUCGGAUGAGACCGGAGAAAGGGAUGAGGGGGGAGGGAGUGGGGGGGAGGCGAAUACUGGGAAAGAAGAGGAGUGGGGAGAAGACGCAGAUUUUCAUUUUUUCUCAAGAUUUUUGGACAAGCAUAAAGGAGUUCUGAUUUCUAGUGGAGAUAUCAGGAUAAUUAUUCCUCCCCACAAUCGUCUUAACAUAAACACAAACCAAUUCAGGAUAAAUAUACUGGAAGAUGAAAGAUAUAAACCACAAACAGGAUUAAGGAUUCAUCAUAUAUCUAAGAUAGUUGAUAUCUCCCCCCACGGUUCAUGUUUCCCUGUGACACACCCGGCCUACCUCAUCCUGCCGGUCAACGUAGAUCUGGAGUCUCCUUCAUGGAUCAACGUUCUCUUCUCAAAUACAAAUAUUUCAGAGCCUGUGAGUUGGCAGACCCUACCAUCCUCCAGCUAUAGAUACCAUUCCGGUCAUAUUAUCCUACAAACCUGCUACCUUGCACUCUUUACAAUAGUUUAUAAGGAACCCUUACCGGAAGUAAAAAAGCGAAUAAGGCGGAGAAUCGGCGGAAGCCUACAGAUGCCCUCACAUCCGGGACUCAAGGUAACCUUCCCUCGCGGUUCCUGUGAUGUUGAUAUAGAAGCUAGUAUUAAAGUCCUCUACGACCAUGAACCCACUAACCCAACGAGAGGUGAUGUAUCCAACGUUGAAGGAAGCCUGGCUUGUCCUAUAAUUAUGGUUGGGCCCCCUGGAUACCAGUUCAAUAUUAACCGGAAACCAGUGGAAAUUGAACUUCCGGUUCCACAUUACAGAGAAAUUCACGAGCUGUGGCCGCGUGCUACACUUGCAAUAUGGCAGUCCAGUACAAGGGAGGAUGAUCCUUUAAACUGGGAAUUAGUGGAGGUUGAGAGGUUAAGUGUACAUCACUACAGGUGUGGACUUGUGUCAAUCUCUUUCCCUACUUUUCAUUUUACAUUUUUCAAGGUUGUCUGGGAUAUACUGACCAAUAAACUUUACGAGGCUAAAAUGGGAGUUUCAUACUUUUAUCCUUGGAUAUCAUUCCCUAUGAAAUGCCAGGCGUAUAUGGAGGAGAACCCUGACACGAAUUCCUUCGGCCUGGAGGUGAUCUGCUACAAUGCUGAAGCUAACCCUGAGCAGAUUCAGAACUCAAACUAUAGAUACUGUGUUGGAUCUUGUCUUAAACCUAAACUUGUUCGUCCUGGCAAAAUACUCAUCCGACUCAGGUCCCAGAAGUUCCAAGCUGACGUGAGUGCUGGGGAAGAGGAAAAUAUGGAGAAGGAGGAACCUGACUUCAGGGGUAGGGACUUCGAGAAGCAGUUCGCCUGCAUCUUCCGGGAUACACAGAAGGUCGAGAGAGGAACAUUUGGAAAGGUUGUGGUUGACCGGUUUGGAUCAGAGCGUGAGAAAGAGAAUCUGUUUGAAUUUAAUCUUCAGAAGUCUGGCGUAGAAACAGAAAUUCAACCUCAAGAUACUUCAGACAGAUGGUCUGUGGUAGCUGUGAAGGAGCUUGCAGGUCAUCUUGCUUUGAUGGAGGAAUCCAACUGGAAGCAUUUUGCAAACUAUAUUGGAUUCACGAAGCAAGAGAUUAAGGGGAAGCUGGCCUACUCCCCCGACCCCUUCCUCUCUAUGAUGAACCUUUAUCAGAACAGAGGGGGAACACCAGAGGAAUUCGUCCAGGCUUUGUACUCUGUGAGUAGGGAUCUGAAUCUAGGCUCUAGUUCUAUCAGUAAUAAAUCAGGAACUCCGGGAUCUACUUCAUCGGGUAUUUCUGGUUCGGGAAGCCAGAGAAGCCAGGAUUCAGCAGCUCAAAAUAUUACAAAAAGGUUCUCAUUCUUUGGAUUAACUCCGUGGCGUAAUGAAGAAGAUUCUGACAGUGGAACUGCAGAUAUGCAUGCUCUUGACACAUCUCCUGCUGAUAGCAAGGAUAGCAGGAAACGAGGAAGGGAGAAGGCUCUAGAAGAUCUAAGUUUGGCAAAGAGAAGAAGAACUGAGGGAACAGCUUCAGCCUGCUCAAGAGCAAGUAGAGGAGAGAAGGAGAAGAGGAAGGAGAGGGACAGCUACAGCAGUAGUGACGAGAGCGGGCCGGAGGAUACCGGACAUGCAAGUAAAAAGGCUCGGAGUGUAUCUACUGAGCAGUUUAAGAGGAACCCGUACAAGCUGACCGAUCAAGAUCUCUGGCAGAUAUCUGCUCAUAUGAACGCGAUCAAUUGGAGAGCGCUUGGGCGCACGUUGGGACUUGAAGAAUCAGUAUUGUUAAACCUUGAGCACGCACAUAAAGGAUCCGGAAUGCGAGAAUGCGCCUACCAAACUUUGCUGACAUGGAAAGAGACUCGUCCUAAGUUUUGUACUUUUGGUGGAUUGUACACAUCGUUGUGUGAGGAGAAAAUGAAUAGCGUGGCUAAACACAUGGCAACCCUUCUCUCUUCAGGAUCUAUCUCUACCAAGUAGGAAACUGUACGGUACAUGUGUAAACGUACGAUAGCGGUGAAAUGGAUAUUUUGUAACCCCCCUCCUUCACCCUAAAAGAACCCCCCCCCCCCCCUGUUAUCCCGGUUAAAUUAUGAGAAAUCUCAAUUUAAAGUAGCAAAAUUUUACUGCAAGUUCUUGCACAUUAUAAUUUAUGUACCCAAUUCUUCGUACAUAAAUUCUUUAUGUUCGUAUUUGCUCACAAAAUAAACUCUGUACAUCGUUUACACUGUACAUAAGUUUAAUUCAUUUGUUUUACAUUUGGUUCUAUGCAUUUAAUUUGUAUCCAUGUAUAUAUAUGUGUUUUCUAAACGUACUGCCAAAUAUUUAUGUACAAACCACUAAGUAGUACGCUUAUGCUCAAACAAUAAUGUUCAGCUUAUAGAUAGUGACUUCACUUUUUAGUUGAAAGUUUUAAGUUCUUAUUUUUGUCAACACUCUAUACCUCCAUUUUAUUUACAAUGCACGUAAACCGGUUCAAACUAUAACAAACAAUAAGCUGGAAAUCAAAAGUAAUGUAUGCAGUACAAAAAUUAAAAUUAAUAAUUGUUCUCUUUAUAAUACAUAUGUAACAGUUGUA